rnacentral:rRNA from 1 species
GGGGCCCCCGCGUAGCUCCGUAGGCCUGUGACAUACCUUAUGUUGCCUCGGCGGAUCAGCCCGCGCCCCGUAAAAAGGGACGGCCCGCCGCAGGAACCCUAAACUCUGUUUUUAGUGGAACUUCUGAGUAUAAAAAACAAAUAAAUCAAAACUUUCAACAACGGAUCUCUUGGUUCUGGCAUCGAUGAAGAACGCAGCAAAAUGCGAUAAGUAAUGUGAAUUGCAGAAUUCAGUGAAUCAUCGAAUCUUUGAACGCACAUUGCGCCCGCCAGUAUUCUGGCGGGCAUGCCUGUUCGAGCGUCAUUUCAACCCUCAAGCCCAGCUUGGUGUUGGGAGCUGCAGUCCUGCUGCACUCCCCAAAUACAUUGGCGGUCACGUCGAGCUUCCAUAGCGUAGUAAUUUACACAUCGUUACUGGUAAUCGUCGCGGCCACGCCGUUAAACCCCAACUUCUGAAUGUUGACCUCGGAUCAGGUAGGAAUACCCGCUGAACUUAAGCAUAUCAAUAAGCGGAAGAAUU